rnacentral:rRNA from 1 species
UUUCUCGAAUUAAAAAGAGCUAUGAUUAUAUAAAUUUAACUGUUGCAUAAUUUUUUAUAAUAUAAUUAUAGAAAUGAAACGUUAGUCGUUUUUUAAGAUAUCUAGUUUUCUAAGAAAUAAAUUUAAUUUAGUUUUUUAAGUGUAUAUUAUUUAUUAUAUAGUAGUAUAUUUGAAGAAUGUAAUAUUUUAAGGGAUAAGCUUUAAAAUAGAUUAUUAAAAAUGUAUGGUUUUAAUUAAAAGAUUAGUAGGAUUGGAAAUGUUUAUCGAUAGUUUGUUAUAAUUAAUCUUUUAUUAGAUAAGAUUUAUAUGUAUUUUAAGUUAUUUAUUAGGAGGAUUUAUGGAAUUAUAUAUUAAAUGUUAUAAUGAUAGAAUUAGUAUAGUUUUUUUGUAUAAGAUAUUUAAAUUUUAAGGUUAAGUUAAGGAACUCGGCAAAUUUAUUUUUCGCCUGUUUAUUAAAAACAUGUCUUUUUGAGUAUAAUUUAAAGUCUAACCUGCCCAAUGAGUAGUUAAAUGGCCGCGGUACUUUGACCGUGCAAAGGUAGCAUAAUCAUUAGUUUUUUAAUUGAAAGCUGGAAUGAACGGUUGGACGAGAAAAUAACUGUCUCAAUUUAAUUUUAAUUAGAAUUUUAUUUAUAAGUAAAAAAGCUUAUAUGCAUUUAAAAGACGAGAAGACCCUAUAGAAUUUUAUAUUUAUUUAUAUAUAUUAUUUAUAGAAUCUUAAGUUAUAUAUAUAAAUAAAUAUUUUGUUGGGGCGAUAGAAAAAUUAACUUAACUUUUUUUAUAUAAAAUCAUUGAUUUAUGAGAGAGUGAUCCGUUAUUUACGAUUAUAAGAUUAAAUUACCUUAGGGAUAACAGCGUAAUUUUUUUUUAGAGUUCUUAUCGAAAAAAGAGUUUGCGACCUCGAUGUUGGAUUAAAAUUAACUUUUGGUGUAGGGGCUAAAAGGUUAGGUCUGUUCGAC